CAUGCACUUAAUUAGGUAUUUCUGCCAACUUCGGCAUUAAUACUCAGUAAUGUGCAAAUAGAAAUUGAAGAUGUGCUUAAAGAAGUUUGUCUUAAUGCAAAUUUACACGGUACAACUUGUACA
rnacentral:snoRNA from 1 species